UGCCACCAUGCCCAGCUAACUUUUUGUAUUUUUUAGUAGAGAUGGGGUUUCACUAUGCUGGCCAAAAUGGUCUCAAACUCGACCUCGUGAUCCACCCGCCUCGGCCUCGCAAAGUGCUGGGAUUACAGGCGUGAGCCACCACGCUCAGCCGUGUUUUAAUUUUUACUGCACAUGAAACCAAUAUUGCAUGUGCCCCUUAAACUGUGCAUGCAAACUAAGAAACAGGCAUGUCAUAUAUAGUAAACACGGCUGCAGGGCUUCUCUACAAAACUGUUAAGAGCUUUUAGCACCCAUUCCUCCAUCACACUUAGUUUUUUACACAUGCCUGUAUCAGUAAGCCAUAUCAGACCCCACUUACAGUAGACUUAAUAUUGGUACUGAACACUGUUACAGGAAUCCCAUUCAAAAGAUUCUUUUCUGCAGCCACCUGCUACCGUAACCUCUCUAGUAUUCUCCUUCUACCCCCCAACCCACUUUGUCCUUAACUAGAGCUAUGAACUAUUGAUAUAUGUGCUUACCCCAACAUCCAUGGAGUAAAUAUAUAAAGCGUUAAUAUUUGCAGUGAGGAGCCUAGCUUUUUUCCUGGAAACUAAGGCUUGGACGUAUCAAGAGAACUCUGAACCUGUUACCCGUUCUUUUAACUGUGGCCCACAGACCGGAAAAAAACACAAAAGCCUUGGUGACCUUUGAAAAUCUGUCAGCAUAUUAUUGAAAUUUCUAAUAUUGAGAGGGAAAAUGGGGGGUGGGGAUAAUGGGCUGGAUUUUUUUUGUUACGUCUAUUAUUUCUAAUAGUGUAAUCUGCUAUCCUACUUCAUUUCUCUGGGGGCCACAGGGAGAGAAGUUUUCUCUUACUUUACCUGAGCCUAAUUAUAAGAAUCCACUACUUUGUUAGUAGCAAACCUAGGUUCUACUUCUGUGGAUUUUUUUUUUUUUAACAAAACAAUGCAAUAUAAAUACAAAGAUUUCACGGUAGCCAACCACAGAAAUUCUGUCUUAUGAUUGCAGCCAUACAAGGAAGCACAGUUAUUUCUACUUGUUCAGAGCUGAAAUUAAACUUCUUCCAGAGCACCUCGAGGGGAAAGAUUUAAAUGAUUUCUAAACAGGAAGUAAAGACAAGCACUGUAGAACAUUUAUAAACUUAUAUCCUAGACACUCAAAACUCAACGAAACAAAAAAUUCUCAAAAUUCAGGAUCUGGUCCUUAGAAAUUUGAAGGUGCUGCCAAAAUAAACAGUGGUAUAUUUUGAUUUUGUCUCCAUCAAAGUCUUUGCAAUUAAUUUUUAUUCAAUAGUACAUCCAGUAAUAAGAUUUUCAUUCAGAAACUAAAGAAAAAGGACACAAGAAUUUCAAGGGCUUGAAUAUAUUUUUAUAUUGAUAUUCUGUGUCGUUCUACCCUAAAAUAAUACAUUAUUGAUUACAUACAGGAUGAGGUGAGGUAUUUGUAAAAUAUCUGGUAAAAAAUAAUUAAUAUACAGUAUUCUACAUGAGAUGGAAUCUUAUGACUCCUUAGGUCUUCUGCAGUGUUAAAAGUGAUCAUCUAAAUUAAACUGCUCUGAAUGGACUUACAGUUGUUCCCUAAAACCAUGUUAAAAAAUGAAGAUGAGUUAAAGAGACAGGCUG
rnacentral:lncRNA from 10 species